CAGUCGCCACGGUAAUACGAAGGGGGCUAGCGUUGUUCGGAUUUACUGGGCGUAUAGGGCGCGUAGGCGGACUGAUAAGUCAGGGGUGAAAUCCCAAGGCUCAACCUUGGAACUGCCUUUGAUACUGUUUGUCUUGAGUUCGAGAGAGGUAAGUGGAACUGCGAGUGUAGAGGUGAAAUUCGUAGAUAUUCGCAAGAACACCAGUGGCGAAGGCGGCUUACUGGCUCGAUACUGACGCUGAGGCGCGAAAGCGUGGGGAGCAAACAGGAUAGAUACCCCCGUAGUCCCUGUCUCUUAUACA
rnacentral:rRNA from 1 species